UACAGAGGGCUCAAGCGUUGUUCGGAUUCAUUGGGCGUAAAGGGUGCGUAGGCGGCGCGGUAAGUCGGGUGUGAAAUCCCGGAGCUUAACUCCGGAACUGCAUUCGAUACUGCCGUGCUUGAGGACUGGAGAGGAGACUGGAAUUUACGGUGUAGCGGUGAAAUGCGUAGAUAUCGGAAGGAAGACCAGUGGCGAAGGCGGGUCUCUGGACAGUUCCUGACGCUGAGGCACGAAGGUCAGGGGAGCAAACGGG
rnacentral:rRNA from 1 species